rnacentral:rRNA from 1 species
UAGGGAAUCUUCGGCAAUGGGGGGAACCCUGACCGAGCAACGCCGCGUGAGUGAAGAAGGUUUUCGGAUCGUAAAGCUCUGUUGUUAAGGAAGAACGAGUGAGAGAAUGGAAAGUUCAUGCUGUGACGGUAAUUAACCAGAAAGGGACGGCUAACUACGUGCCAGCAGCCGCGGUAAUACGUAGGUCCCGAGCGUUGUCCGGAUUUAUUGGGCGUAAAGCGAGCGCAGGCGGUUAGAAAAGUCUGAAGUGAAAGGCAGUGGCUCAACCAUUGUAGGCUUUGGGAACUGUUUAACUUGGGUGCAGAAGGGGAGAGUGGAAUUCCAUGUGUAGCGGUGAAAUGCGUAGAUAUAUGGAGGAACACCGGUGGCGAAAGCGGCUCUCUGGUCUGUAACUUACGCUGAGGCUCGAAAACGUGGGGAGCGAACAGG